rnacentral:rRNA from 1 species
CGCCUCCCGCAAAAAUCAACGUAUAGGAGGUCUUGCCUGCCCAGUGACUGCAAGUUAAACGGCCGCGGUAUUUUGACCGUGCAAAGGUAGCGCAAUCACUUGUCUUUUAAAUGAAGACCUGUAUGAAUGGUGAAACGAGGGCUUAACUGUCUCUCUCCCCCAGUCAAUGAAAUUGAUCUACCCGUGCAGAAGCGGGUCUAAUACUACAAGACGAGAAGACCCUUUGGAGCUUAAGAUAUAAGACCAACUAUGUUAAAAGCCCAAAAUAAGACUAAACCCAAUAGCCCUGGUCCCUAUCUUCGGUUGGGGCGACCACGGGAGAAAACAAAGCUCCCACGCAGAUUGGGGAAACCCCCUAAAACCAAGAGAAACAUCUCUAAGACGCAGAAUAUCUGACCAUAUUGAUCCGGCCACGCGCCGACCAACGAACCAAGUUACCCUAGGGAUAACAGCGCAAUCCCCUUCCAGAGUCCAUAUCGACAAGGGGGUUUACGACCUCGAUGUUGGAUCAGGACAUCCUAAUGGUGCAGCCGCUAUUAAGGGUUCGUUUGUUCAACGAUUAAAGUCCU